rnacentral:lncRNA from 13 species
GCCAAAUAGAACCUAAAUGUUAUCAAAAUACUAAUUUAAAUCUCGCCACUGCCUGGACUUCCGUUUCUUCCCCUCCCCCAAUGUUGGUGCAGAGACUGAACAUGGAAAAGGGUAGAAAUUUAAGAAAGGGUCUGCGGAGUUUCAGAGCCAAGGAAAUAAUGAGACGAUUUCCCAAAAAGUGUAAGUGAAGAUUAGACCCAGGAAAAGAUGCUGCCCCUUCCUGGAAUUACAGAAACACAAAUUCGAACACCAGAAAGACAGGGCCACUUCUGGUUUCUGGUAUUGUUACAGAGGAAAAAAGUGACAGGGCCCCACUGUGGGGGUUGAAGGGGAGACACAGGGCAGGCUGGCGCCUGCCGCACUGCUUGUGGGAGUGGAAAUUGGGGGCCAGAGCGCACUAGUGACGUGGCCGUCACGUGACCAAGAGCCGCCUAGAGCUCAAGUCCUGCUAGUCGUCUCCGUCUGGGUACCAGCCCCCUAUUACUCUGCAGGCGUGUGGAGAAAGAAGGAAACUAGCUCGGACUGUGCAGGUUGGUGCGAGGGUGGGCGCUGCUUGAAAGGAGGUAGGGGUGGAAGGGGGCCAAGAGCGCCGCAGAUCCGAGUUCAGGCCGAUCACGGCUGGGUCCCUUUCUCGCCUACUUUCUAAAUACUGCCUCCCACCCCCACCCCGUGCUCAUUUUAGUAGAGAGAAGUGGCGGGCUUCGGGUGGGUUGGGGUGAGGGGAGUGAAUGACGUUUCCAGAGACUCCGAGGAAAGAAAGGUUCCACAAUCGGGGUUCCAGUGUCCCGGGUGCUGGUCCGUCUACCAAGCACUCCGUCCCCUCGAUCCCUUGUCUGUUUGCAGGUUUGUAGGUCUGCUGGCCUGCAAGGCUCGGCGCAAGUCUCGGCGAGAGAAGGAGAAAACUGCCUUGGUUGGAACCUUUCAGUUCAGUGUGAAGACUCUGUCUAUCACUGUGGAAGGACCACUGACAACAGAAGACAAGGGAAAACGAAGGAAUUUACCAGACUUUGGUAGAGAUUCAUCACAAGAGAGCUGCAGGAGCCUGGAAGAAGCUGAAGACUGCUACCCUCCAUCGUUACUCAUCCUGGACCUAAGAGACCUCUUCAAUCAGGUGGAGCAAGGCCCUCUCCUGUCCUGCCCCA